rnacentral:lncRNA from 1 species
UAGCAGUAAAACUUUAGGUUAAACCACCAGAAACCCUAGAAGCCGAUAGGUCACCCAAAAAAUCAACCAAAAAUCGUCAUAAAAUCUUCCAGAACGUUCAGGAGAAGGAAAUACACUCCGAUAGCACGACGGAAGACUCAGAAAGGUGUCCGAUAGGUCGGAAUCUUCAUCGAGUUUCAGAAAACACCCCCAAAAUCUCGAAACAAACUUCAUCCAAAACAACGAAGUACAUAGAAACAUAGUCGGAUCGUCGUCGAGGCUCUGAUACCAUGUUAACAUCGAGAUUAAACCGAAAAAUCAUGAAGAAUCUACAGAGAGAAAGUAGAGAGAAGGAGGAGCGUUUGAGAAGUCUCUGGAACUCAGAGAGAUUUUAUUAAACGAAGAACAGAAACAAAAUGAAGUCCAGGGGUCCCAAAAUAUCUGAGGACCCCAAUAUAUACAGGUACACGUGGGUCGGGUCGAAUGACCCAAAGAGUGAAAUGAAAUGGGGCUCAGACAGUAAUUGGGCUCGGUUACAUACAAAUGGCCCAACAACACAUAAUCAUCACAGCCCAUACUAUUGUAUACCAGCUUAUACAAUAAAUAUACA